rnacentral:tRNA from 1 species
UAGAAUAUAGUGUAUGGGUAGCACGGAGAAUUUUGAGUUCUUUAGAUUGGGUUCAAUUCCUAUUAUUCUAG